rnacentral:rRNA from 1 species
ACUCCUACGGGAGGCAGCAGUGGGAAUCUUAGACAAUGGGGGAAAGCCCUGAUCUAGCCAUGCCGCGUGAGCGAUGAAGGCCUUAGGGUUGUAAAGCUCUUUCAGCUGGGAAGAUAAUGACGGUGACCAGCAGAAGAAGCCCCGGCUAACUCCGUGCCAGCAGCCGCGGUAAUACGGAGGGGCUAGCGUUGUUCGGAAUUACUGGGCGUAAAGCGCACGUAGGCGGAUUGGUAAGUUGGGGGUGAAAUCCCGGGGCUCAACCCCGGAACUGCCUCCAAAACCUCCCAGUCUUG